rnacentral:rRNA from 1 species
GACAGAGGUGCCAAGCGUUAGGCGGAAUCACUGGGCUUAAAGCGUGUGUAGGCGGGUGCCUAAGUACCUUGUGAAAUCCCCCCGGCUCAACCGGGGAACGGCUGGGUAUACUGGGUGCCUUGGGUCAUCUAGGGGCUGCCGGAACAAAUGGUGGAGCGGUGAAAUGCGUAGAUAUCAUUUGGAACGCCAACGGCGAAAGCAGGCAGCUGGGGAUGCACCGACGCUGAGACACGAAAGCCAGGGGAGCGAACGGG